rnacentral:rRNA from 1 species
GACAGAGGGUGCAAACGUUGUUCGGAAUUACUGGGCGUAAAGCGCGCGUAGGCGGCUCGGAAAGUCGGUCGUGAAAUCCCGGGGCUCAACCCCGGAACUGCCUCUGAAACUGCAGUGCUAGAAUCUUGGAGAGGCGAGUGGAAUUCCGAGUGUAGAGGUGAAAUUCGUAGAUAUUGGGAAGAACACCAGUGGCGAAGGCGGCUCACUGGCCCGUAACUGACGCUGAGGUGCGAAAGCGUGGGGAGCAAACAGG